rnacentral:rRNA from 1 species
UACGGGGGGGGCAAGCGUUGUUCGGAAUUACUGGGCGUAAAGGGCUCGUAGGCGGCCAACUAAGUCGGACGUGAAAUCCCCAGGCUCAACCUGGGAACUGCGUCCGAUACUGGAUGGCUUGAAUCCGGGAGAGGGAUGCAGAAUUCCAGGUGUAGCGGUGAAAUGCGUAGAUAUCUGGAGGAACACCGGUGGCGAAGGCGGCGUUCUGGACUGCAACUGACACUGAAAAACGAAAGCCAGGGGAGCAAACGGG